rnacentral:rRNA from 1 species
UACGGGGGGGCAAGCGUUGUUCGGAAUUACUGGGCGUAAAGGGCUCGUAGGCGGCCAACUAAGUCAGACGUGAAAUCCCUCGGCUUAACCGGGGAACUGCGUCUGAUACUGGAUGGCUUGAGUUUGGGAGAGGGAUGCGGAAUUCCAGGUGUAGCGGUGAAAUGCGUAGAUAUCUGGAGGAACACCGGUGGCGAAGGCGGCAUCCUGGGACCACACUGACGCUGAGGAGCGAAAGCCAGGGGAGCCAAAGCGGG